rnacentral:rRNA from 1 species
AAUAGAUACCCGGGUAGUCCACGCCGUAAACGAUGGAUGCUAGCUGUUAUGCGUAUCGACCCGUGUAGUAGCGAAGCUAACGCGUUAAGCAUCCCGCCUGGGGAGUACGAACGCAAGUUUAAAACUCAAAGGAAUUGACGGGGACCCGCACAAGCGGUGGAGCGUGUUCUUUAAUUCGAGGCUAAGCGAAGAACCUUACCAGGGCUUGACAUCCUUGGAAUUUCUCCGAAAGGAGAGAGUACUUUAUUGGACCAAGUGACAGGUGCUGCAUGGCCGUCGUCAGCUCGUGUCGUGAGAUGUUUGGUUAAGUCCAUUAACGAGCGCAACCCUUAUGAAUAGUUGUAUUUUUCUAUUCAGACUGCCCCGGUAACGGGGAGAAGGGGGGAUGAUGUCAGGUCAGUAUUGCCCUUACGCCCUGGGCUAGAAACGCGCUACAAUGGCCGGUACAAUGCGCUGCCAACCCGCGAGGGGGAGCAAAUCGCAUCAAAGCCGGUCCCAGUUCGGAUAAGAGGCUGAAACUCGCCUCUUUGAAGCCGGAAUCGCUAGUAAUCGU